rnacentral:rRNA from 1 species
UGGCGAACGGGUGAGUAACACGUGGGGAAUCUGCCUAUAAGUGGGGGAUAACAUUCGGAAACGGAUGCUAAUACCGCAUAUAUUCUUGGACCGCCUGGUCCUUGAAAGAAAGACGGCUUUGCUGUCGCUUAUAGAUGAUCCCGCGGCGUAUUAGUUAGUUGGUGGGGUAAUGGCCUACCAAGACCAUGAUACGUAGCCGACCUGAGAGGGUGAUCGGCCACACUGGGACUGAGACACGGCCCAGACUCCUACGGGAGGCAGCAGUAGGGAAUCUUCCACAAUGGGUGCAAACCUGAUGGAGCAAUGCCGCGUGAAUGAAGAAGGUCUUCGGAUCGUAAAGUUCUGUUAUUAGAGAAGAACAAGUCAAGGAGUAACUGUCUUGACUUUGACGGUACCUAACCAGAAAGUCACGGCUAACUACGUGCCAGCAGCCGCGGUAAUACGUAGGUGACAAGCGUUGUCCGGAAUUAUUGGGCGUA